rnacentral:rRNA from 1 species
AUACGUAGGGUGCAAGCGUUAAUCGGAAUUACUGGGCGUAAAGCGUGCGCAGGCGGUUUUGUAAACCAGAGGUGAAAUCCCCGGGCUCAACCUGGGAACUGCCUUUGUGACUGCAAGGCUAGAGUACGGCAGAGGGGGAUGGGAUUCCGCGUGUAGCAGUGAAAAGCGUAGAUAUGCGGAGGAACACCGAUGGCGAAGGCAAUCCCCUGGGCCUGUACUGAUGCUCAUGCACGAAAGCGUGGGGAGCAAACAGGAUUAGAUACCCUGGUAGUCCACGCCCUAAACGAUGUCAACUGGUUGUUGGGGAUUUAUUUUCUCAGUAACGAAGCUAACGCGUGAAGUUGACCGCCUGGGGAGUACGGCCGCAAGGUUAAAACUCAAAUGAAUUGGCGGGG